AUUGAACGCUGGCGGCAGGCCUAACACAUGCAAGUCGAACGAGUGGCAGACGGGUGAGGAAUGUCUGGGAAACUGCCUGCUGGAGGGGGAUAACUACUGGAAACGGUAGAUAAUACCUCAUACCAUCGGAUGAGCCCAGAUGGGAUUAGCUAGGAGGUGGGGUAACGGCUCAACUAGGCUACGAUCCCUAGCUGGUCUGAGAGGAUGACCAGCCACACUGGAACGGAGACACGGUCCAGACUCCUACGGGAGGCAGCAGUGGGGAAUAUUGCACAAUGGGCACAAGCCUGAUGCAGCCAUGCCGCGUGUAUGAAGAAGGCCUUCGGGUUGUAAAGUACUUUCAGCGGGGAGGCGUUACCCGCAGAAGAAGCACCGGCUAACUCCGUGCCAGCAGCCGCGGUAAUUC
rnacentral:rRNA from 1 species